rnacentral:rRNA from 1 species
UACGUAGGUGACCAGCGUUGUCCGGAUUUACUGGGCGUAAAGAGCGCGCAGGCGGUCGUUCAAGUCGAGUGUGAAAGCCCCCGGCUCAACUGGGGAGGGUCACUUGAUACUGAUCGACUCGAAGGCAGGAGAGGGAAGCGGAAUUCCCGGGUGUAGUGGUGAAAUGCGUAGAUAUCGGGAGGAACACCAGUGGCGAAGGCGGCUUCCUGGC